GAAUACAGUACGAUUUUGCUAUAAUUAUGGAGGCAUGAGGGGCCUAGGGGGGCUAGAUGGUGGUUUUAACACUAUAGGGUCAGGAAUACAUGUUUGUGUUCCUGACCCUAUAGUGAUCCUCUAAUUGUAGGGUGUUAUCUGACAUUACAUUUUUGCUAUCUGAACAUCCCAAGCCCAAAUAUUUAGGGGGGAGAAACAGUCUGGCCCUUUAUUUCUAUCCU